GAUGAACGCUGGCGGCGUGCCUAAUACAUGCAAGUCGAGCGAACAGAUAAGGAGCUUGCUCCUUUGACGUUAGCGGCGGACGGGUGAGUAACACGUGGGUAACCUACCUAUAAGACUGGAAUAACUCCGGGAAACCGGGGCUAAUGCCGGAUAACAUUUAGAACCGCAUGGUUCUAAAGUGAAAGAUGGUUUUGCUAUCACUUAUAGAUGGACCCGCGCCGUAUUAGCUAGUUGGUAAGGUAACGGCUUACCAAGGCAACGAUACGUAGCCGACCUGAGAGGGUGAUCGGCCACACUGGAACUGAGACACGGUCCAGACUCCUACGGGAGGCAGCAGUAGGGAAUCUGCCGCAAUGGGCGAAAGCCUGACGGAGCAACGCCGCGUGAGUGAUGAAGGUCUUCGGAUCGUAAAACUCUGUUAUUAGGGAAGAACAAAUGUGUAAGUAACUGUGCACGUCUUGACGGUACCUAAUCAGAAAGCCACGUCUAACUACGUG
rnacentral:rRNA from 1 species